GAUAUCCUAUCCCAACUGAUGGGGAAACAUUUCAAAAUUUUGGUCAUCAAAGAGCCAUGUCAGCAUUAUCCAGAUGAUCAAGCAAUGAGUGGCUAUCUAAGCCAGGUAACUCCAACAUACACUCACAUUUUCAGAUCAUAACUUAUUCUUGUCAAUACAGAAACAAACAAACAAAUCACAUAUGAGAUGAGAUAUUCAUCAAUCAAACACCACUUAAAUUAAGAGAAUUGAUAAUUGGAUUUUCUCUUCUUUUUUACUAUUUACUUCCACUCAUUCUAACAAGGCUUUAUUAUAGUUUCAUUCUAAUUCUGAGAAUAUAUAAACAUAUAUUGUUACUGAUAUUUAACACUAGAAGCAAUAUAAUGGCCUCAACUACCACUCCGCUAUCUCUUUCCUCCAGCCUCACCGACGGCAAAGCACAUCUUCGACAGUCUGCUGCCGC
rnacentral:lncRNA from 1 species